UGCCAGCUAAAUGACGACAGGCUCGCCGC
rnacentral:sRNA from 1 species